rnacentral:lncRNA from 1 species
CGUGUUACAAAGUCUUGUGAAACAAAGCCCUGAUUUCAUAGCAAGCUAUGUGCUGAACUUUCACCAGAAAAGUGUGCCUCCUUACGGAACAUCCUCUAAGGAUGUCCUGCAGGAUUCCUAACAUCAUCAAGCCUGGGACUUCACUCACUCUCCUCUUCGAAAGUCCUCUGAAACUUCCCAAAUAUGCACCCACUUCAUUCUUAGCGCAGUGCUUCAAUCAGACCCUUACCAUUCUGAGGCCGGACUGCCGCGAAAGCCUCCAGUUUCAGGUUGUCCUCC